rnacentral:rRNA from 1 species
CUGAACUCGGGUGAAGGAACUAGGCAAAAUGGUGCCGUAACUUCGGGAGAAGGCACGCUGAUAUGUAGGUGAGGUCCCUCGCGGAUGGAGCUGAAAUCAGUCGAAGAUACCAGCUGGCUGCAACUGUUUAUUAAAAACACAGCACUGUGCAAACACGAAAGUGGACGUAUACGGUGUGACGCCUCCCCGGUGCCGGAAGGUUAAUUGAUGGGGUUAGCGCAAGCGAAGCUCUUGAUCGAAGCCCCGGUAAACGGCGGCCGUAACAAUAACGGUCCUAAGGUAGCGAAAUUCCUUGUCGGGUAAGUUCCGACCUGCACGAAUGGCGUAAUGAUGGCCAGGCUGUCUCCACCCGAGACUCAGUGAAAUUGAACUCGCUGUGAAGAUGCAGUGUACCCGCGGCAAGACGGAAAGACCCCGUGAACCUUUACUAUAGCUUGACACUGAACAUUGAGCCUUGAUGUGUAGGAUAGGUGGGAGGCUUUGAAGUGUGGACGCCAGUCUGCAUGGAGCCGACCUUGAAAUACCACCCUUUAAUGUUUGAUGUUCUAACGUUGACCCGUAAUCCGGGUUGCGGACAGUGUCUGGUGGGUAGUUUGACUGGGGCGGUCUCCUCCUAAAGAGUAACGGAGGAGCACGAAGGUUGGCUAAUCCUGGUCGGACAUCAGGAGGUUAGUGCAAUGGCAUAAGCCAGCUUGACUGCGAGCGUGACGGCGCGAGCAGGUGCGAAAGCAGGUCAUAGUGAUCCGGUGGUUCUGAAUGGAAGGGCCAUCGCUCAACGGAUAAAAGGUACUCCGGGGAUAACAGGCUGAUACCGCCCAAGAGUUCAUAUCGACGGCGGUGUUUGGCACCUCGAUGUCGGCUCAUCACAUCCUGGGGCUGAAGUAGGUCCCAAGGGUAUGGCUGUUCGCCUUUUAAAGUGGUACGCGAGCUGGGUUUAGAACGUCGUGAGACAGUUCGGUCCCUAUCUGCCGUGGGCGCUGGAGAACUGAGGGGGGCUGCUCCUAGUACGAGAGGACCGGAGUGGACGCAUCACUGGUGUUCGGGUUGUCAUGCCAAUGGCACUGCCCGGUAGCUAAAUGCGGAAGAGAUAAGUGCUGAAAGCAUCUAAGCACGAAACUUGCCCCGAGAUGAGUUCUCCCUGACCCUUUAAGGGUCCUGAAGGAACGUUGAAGACGACGACGUUGAUAGGCCGGGUGUGUAAGCGCAGCGAUGCGUUGAGCUAACCGGUACUAAUGAACCGU